rnacentral:misc_RNA from 1 species
AAAAAAAGCAACCAUGUCUUUUGACUUUUUAGUUUAACGCAUAACAAAUUCAACAAUAAAUGCUAGAAAUUUGAUGUUUAUGGCUUUAUGUAUUAGCGUAUUACUUUCUCAAUAGACAGUUGCCAAAUCCAAUGCUGAAAACAAUAGUUGAAUUCAUAAUUUUGACACCAUAUACAAAUUUGUUUAUGUUUCUACAUCGGACCAUUAUUUACUUUGGAAAGACAUCACUACUAGAGAAAUGCAAGAAGUGGAAAGUAUUGAACAAGUCAAUUCAGAAAUUCACAAGUUCUCCAGAUGAAAGUGAAUCUUGUAAUAUUUUGAAAUUCUUAAAAGUGAAGAUUUAUAUUUUUAACAAAAAGCAUUACGAUAAUGAAUCAAGUUAAGGUCAAUUUUAAAGACAACAAACACGAGUUUGUGAUAAAAUCAUGUUCACAAGUUCGUAAAUAUCAUGGAAAAUGUGAAUUUUAAAAAUAACAGCUCUUAGGCCAAUGUAUGCAUAUGUGCCUGUAAGAAGAUUCAACAUAACAAUUAAGGAA